AAAAACCCAAUCGAUCAAAUACCCCUGAAAUAGUUCUCUUUCUACCAACAUUGGCACAUUGCAUUCGCAUUUCGCAACUUGAACUCCGACGGCUAGGGUUUGUCAUCAAACCCAAAGGAACUCUUCGCAGGCAUCAUGCGAGCCAAGUGGAAGAAGAAGAGAAUGAGGAGAUUGAAGAGGAAGCGCCGAAAGAUGAGGCAGCGAUCGAAGUAAUCUGGUAGUGGUGAACAAUCUCAUCUGUGUCCUUUUCAUAUUUUCUGUGUGAACUCUGCUUGAUCAAUACUGUUUAGUUGCACCGUCGUUGUCGUUUCUAAACCUUUGAUAGUUGAAAUCUGAGAUUCUAAUGAUAUAAAAUUUAGCUUAUUUAUGAUCCUUACGCUAA